rnacentral:rRNA from 1 species
GUGCCAGCCGCCGCGGUAAUACGUAGGGGGCAAGCGUUGUCCGGAAUCAUUGGGCGUAAAGCGCGUGUAGGCGGCCCGGAAAGUCUGGUGUGAAAACCUGAGGCUCAACCUCAGGCUGUCACUGGAUACUGUCGGGCUUGAAUCCGGAAGAGGAGAGUGGAAUUCCUGGUGUAGCGGUGGAAUGCGCAGAUAUCAGGAGGAACACCAAUGGCGAAGGCAGCUCUCUGGUACGUGAUUGACGCUGAGACGCGAAAGCGUGGGGAGCAAACAGGAUUAGAAACCCGCGUAGUCC